rnacentral:rRNA from 1 species
UACGAAGGGGGGCUAGCGUUGUUCGGAAUUACUGGGCGUAAAGCGCACGUAGGCGGACUAUUAAGUCAGGGGGUGAAAUCCCGGGGGCUCAACCCCCGGAACUGCCUUUGAUACUGGUAGUCUCGAGUCCGGAAGAGGUGAGUGGAAUUCCGAGUGUAGAGGUGAAAUUCGUAGAUAUUCGGAGGAACACCAGUGGCGAAGGCGGCUCACUGGUCCGGUACUGACGCUGAGGUGCGAAAGCGUGGGGAGCAAACAGG